AUGGUUUUUGACAUGGCCAGCAGGGAAGGAGCAAGAAGAGCUCCUCAAAGGGUCCAUGGCCCACUGCCUAAGCUCUCUUCAUUUGUUGCUGCUGCAGGGGCUGAAAUACCACAACCCAGGGUGACUAUAGAAAUGAAUAUUGCUAGGCAGACAAGGGCAAGGAUUGAAGCUGACAUUGCAAGAGGAAAGAAAAGGAGAGGCAGAGGUGAGGUACAUCCAAAUGCAAGAAAAGGUAGAGGAGCAAGUGCAGUCUCACCUCCAGGAAGAGGUGCCAGUGCAGAUGCAGCUCCAGGAAGAGGGAGAGGAGCAAGUGCAGUUUCAGCUCCAGGAAGAGGUGCCAGUGCAGAUGCAGCUCCAGGAAGAGGGAGAGGAGCAAAUGCAGAAGCUGGGAGAGGGAGAGGAGGCAGGAAUGUGCAUGCAUGGAGAGGGAGAGGAGGAAGACAUGCAGGUGCAGGGAUAGGGAGAGGAAGAAUUCUAGGUGAGAGGUCAUGGUGGCUGCUGUUUGGAGAAGACAUGGGCAGUCAAAUUCCAGACCUCAAUGCUCCUCCUGAAGAUUUUCCUGCUGCCUGA
rnacentral:rRNA from 1 species